UACGUAGGGUGCGAGCGUUGUCCGGAAUUAUUGGGCGUAAAGGGCUCGUAGGCGGUCUGUCGCGUCGGGAGUGAAAACUCAGGGCUUAACCCUGAGCCUGCUUCCGAUACGGGCAGACUAGAGGUAUGCAGGGGAGAACGGAAUUCCUGGUGUAGCGGUGAAAUGCGCAGAUAUCAGGAGGAACACCAGUGGCGAAGGCGGUUCUCUGGGCCUUACCUGACGCUGAGGAGCGAAAGCAUGGGGAGCAAACAGG
rnacentral:rRNA from 1 species